GGGGUUGUGGCUCAAGUGGUAGAGUGCUCACCUAGCACGUGUGAGGCACUGGUUAGAUCCUCAGCACCA
rnacentral:tRNA from 1 species